GGGUGCACCAGGCGCGAAAACUUUACAAUGCGGGAAACCGUGAUAAGGGGACACCGAGUGCCAGCAUCAUAUGCUGGCUGUCCGGGUGUGUAAAAUACACCUGUUAGCAAGGGCCGGGCAAGACCGGUGCCAGCCGCCGCGGUAACACCGGCGGCCCGAGUGGUGAUCGUGAUUAUUGGGUCUAAAGGGUCCGUAGCCGGUUUGGUCAGUCCUCCGGGAAAUCUGAUAGCUCAACUAUUAGGCUUUCGGGGGAUACUGCCAGACUUGGAACCGGGAGAGGUAAGAGGUACUACAGGGGUAGGAGUGAAAUCUUGUAAUCCCUGUGGGACCACCUGUGGCGAAGGCGUCUUACCAGAACGGGUUCGACGGUGAGGGACGAAAGCUGGGGGCACGAACCGGAUUAGAUACCCGGGUAGUCCCAGCCGUAAACGAUGCUCGCUAGGUGUCAGGCAUGGCGCGACCGUGUCUGGUGCCGCAGGGAAGCCGUGAAGCGAGCCACCUGGGAAGUACGGCCGCAAGGCUGAAACUUAAAGGAAUUGGCGGGGGAGCA
rnacentral:rRNA from 1 species